UGUCCUGGGUAGUGGGCAAAGGGGCGCCUCAUUAGUGGCGUGGCUCUUACGUCAGUCAGGGGCAGAGCAGGUGGUGGGCCUUUGUUCAUCCCAGCCUGAUGCCAGGCUUGGUGGCCAAAGCAGGCUUAUGCCUAGGACACCUUA